rnacentral:misc_RNA from 1 species
UUUUUUUGUGAUAAGACUAGAGAAUUCUGUACUGAUGAAGAUGGAAAAGGAUGAACUGUGAAACCCUUGGCAGAAGAUGACUAAAGUUUGAACCCACCGGCAAAUGAAACAGACGUUCACCUGAAUUUAAACAGCAUGGGAGAAAAAGCUCUUAUUACAACAAAAUGACAUACAAGGCUACAGUUUUACUCAUUAUAACUACAAUAUCGGAAUUCCAUGGUUAGUUUACAGAACUCUGGACUACCAUCAGCAAAAAAAUAAGAUGAAAUUACACAAUCUAGGAGAAUAUGGAAAUUUCACACAACUUGGGAAUCGAUAGUAAAUUAGGAUACCAAGAAUCAUCAACAAUUUGCUACCAAGAAAAAGAAAGUUUUACAACCCAAAGGGAAAUAAUUGCUCUAGUUUUCCCCUUUCCUUCAUUCCAGUAAUCAAUUCUCAAAGCCGAUAUCACAGUUCCAUUCACACAAAACAUAUCCGAUUCCACAAAUAAUCGAAGACAAGCAUGAAUAAAAUAAAAAGAAGAAAGCAACGUCCAGAAAGAGAAAUCUCAAAUGGGAUUUACAGAAGUUUGCUAUGUUCAUUGCAAGAAGAAAUAACAGAUUUUUAACACAAUUAUAACCUCAAAAGCAAGAGUUUAAAAUCAAAGCCAAAGGGUUGCUACAGAAACAGAACCGGCCAUGAAAUCUAAAAAAUAAAUAAAUAAAUAAAUCAAAUAAAUAAAGCAGGCUGAAGUAUGGAACAGGCACUAACCAGUUCCUUUUGCAG